rnacentral:lncRNA from 10 species
CAAGCUUCUCAUUAUUGCAAUGCAUGUUUACAGAUAAGCAAGAGGAGAAGCCUAGACUAAUCCAAGUUGUUCAUGAAGAAAGUCAAACUCUAAAACAUUUAAAGAGGUUUAUUCUGCGCCAAAUAUGAGUGACCAUGGCUUGAGGCAUAAUAUCAAGAGGUCCUGAGAACAUUUACCCGAGGUGGUUGGGUACAGCUUGGUUCUACACAUUUUGGGGAGGAGACAUAAGACAUCAGUCAAUACAUGUGAGGUAUACAUUGGCUCGAUAUAAAAAGGCUGGACAUUUCAAAGUGGGGGUUUUCAGGUCAUAGGUGAAGUCAAAGAUUUCUUGAUUGGCAGUUGGUUGAAGGAGUUCAGCUUAAGAUAAGGAGGGAUGUGGAAGCCAAGGUUCUCGCUGUGUAGAUGGAGCCUUCAGGUAACAGGCUUCAGAUAUAAUAGAUGGUAAAUGUAUUUUGUCAGGUUUUAAAAGAUGUUAGACUUUUAGUUAAAUCUCUCCUGUAUCGGGAAAAAACCUGGAAAGAUUUCCAUACUACUGGCAAAGAUCUCACUAAUUAGCCCUCAUAUAUUGACUUCUGUUUUCAUUUUUCUUCUUUAUUUAUCCUCAAUUGAUUGGUGAUUCCAGCCCUUUGGUCCAGCACUCAAGCCUGGAUCACUCAGUCAUCAUCUUUAUCCACUAACUGCUGGACUCUAAUGAAAAGAAAGCUCUUACCUGCCCAACUUAUUGCCUCCAAGUGUACCAAGAUACGUUUCUCUCUGACAUUGCCUGUACAUUUGCCUGUAGAACUGAAUAAAUGCCUAAAAAAUUAGUGCUAAAUGGCAGCAACUAGAGUUUACUUUGAAGCUGUUUUAUUAUCCUUCAUUGUGUAUAAUUCACUGAGAAAAAUGACACCUGGAUGGUGCCCUUUUCUUGUUUUAUAAAUAUUCAUUUCUUCCUGGUGAUAUAAAAAAGGUUGAAAUGAAAGUUUCGGGUUUUCCUGGGGAAAAGAAAGAAUGACAAUUUUCGAUUACUGUGCUGCUUAUCACAAAAGUAGUUUCAUUUGCCUGAUAGCUUCAUUGACUGGUGUCAAGAUAAUGCCAAGUAGAGUGUUUUGCUAGCUUAAUGCCACCCACAGAGAUAGACAAAAUAUUACUUUUCACAUGCAUUAUGAAAAUAGUAGCUAUUAAUUGUGCUGCUCAACUGUAAGCUGAUCAAACUGCAGAAAACAAGAAAUGUGGCAUUUACGAUUUAGGAAGGCACUUUUCUCAAAUUUCCAGUCAUUAAUUCACAGUUUAAAUCUUGGACCUAAGAAUAUUUACCAAAUUCCUCUAAGUUUCCUGAUCUACUGAAUAUUUUCUUAUUGUUAUGUCAAUCAAGUAAAAUUCUAAGGAGGUUUGAGACUGAGAUUUAUUAUGGCAUUAUAACUCAAUGUUCUGUUUUUCUACUGCAGUUUAAUGUUUUAAAAGGUUAAAUAAGAAUUGGUAUUUAAUGUUAACAAUAACCAUACCUGUUCAUAGACCAUUUUCAUCAACACUUAAGUAUUGGUGCUUAUGCCAUAUCAGGCACUGUUUUAGGCACCACGGAGUAUAAAAAUGGUAAUUUUAGAAUUGUGUGCUUAAGUUUUAAAUCAAGACUGGAAUUUAAGAUACAAAAAGUAUAAUGGCAAAAUUUUCCAGAAAAGUAGACUGGGACUAGAUUAUGAAGACCUUGAAUGCAAGGUUGAGGAAUAUAGAUGUAGAAGGAGCCACUGCAGAAAUUCCCCAGGAGAGUGGCAGAGCAUGUCUAUUCUUUAGAAAUGUCAUUGUGGUCACAAUGCAAAUGAUUGCUUAUGUAUGAGAGGGGCCUAGUGCAAGAGGCGCAGAAGUAUAGAAUGUGCAGGGUUGCAUCGAAAGUAUAGAGUGUGUAGUGACUGUGAGGAUGAAGAGCAGAAAUUACAGUCACUAGCAUAGAGGCAGUGCAGGGUUCUCUUACAUGACAAUAAUGGCAUCAUUAUUAUUAUUAAUUACCAAUAAUAGCUGUCUCCUAUAGCUGGAACAGGACCUCUUGGGUCAUUUAGAUGGUCCUGAUAGCAUGAUCAUAAAUGAUCUGGGAGAUGACUUAAGCAGUAUGUGGUCCAACCCAAGGUCCUGCAUUCUUUAUCUUCUUGAAGCUAUAAUUUGUAAGAGUGACUUGAGGGAGAGUGGGAGAGCGACAAAGUUGGCCCCUAGAUGUCAUGAAAGCCAUGUGUUAGAUGCCACCUCUCCAAGCCUUUCAAAUAUCUUGAUCUUUCAUCUUCAUACCACACUUCUUUCCAAGGUCAGGAGGGGUCAGUGUGGUAACUCACCAUGUGACGCAGACUGAGCCUGAGAUCUAGAAAGUGACUGGCCAUUGAUCAUCUAACAUAUCAUUGGAGGUGGAUGAAUCCAACAAGCAAGGUAGUUUUUGCAACUGAUUAUUGGCCUGAAACAGGAAGAGAUGAAUAAAUUUUUAUUUAAAAUCAUGGCAGUUUAUUUGACCUGUCUCUUGAGAAGUCAUUUACAUUGGAAUUCAACCAUCAAACUUCUCAGCUGACACCCUUCAAUAAUUGUUGGGAACAGGCCCCCCAAAAUCUGUCCAUAAACUGGUCCCAAAACUGGCCAUAAACAAAAUCUCUGCAGCACUGUAACAUGUUCAUAAUGGCCCUAAAGCCCAAGCUGGAAGGUUGUGGGUUUACGGGAAUGAGAGCAAGGAACAUCUGGCCAGCUCAGGGCAGAAAACCGCUUAAGGCAUUCUUAAGCGACAAACAAUAACAUGAACGAUCUGUGCCUUAAGGACGUGCUCCUGCUGCAGUUAACUAGCCCAACCUAUUCCUUUAAUUCGGCCCAUCCCUUCGUUUCCCAUAAGGAAUACCUUUUAGUUAAUCAAAUAUCUAUAGAAACAAUGCUAAUGACUGGCUUGCUGUUAAUAAAUAUAUGGGUAAAUCUCUGUUCAGGGCUCUCAGCUCUGAAGGCUGUGAAACCCCUGAUUUCCCACUUCACACCUCUAUAUUUCUGUGUGUGUGUCUUUAAUUCCUCUAGCGCCACUGAGUUAGGGUCUCCCCGACCAAGCUGGUCUCAGCAAAUAAUAAGAGCUAGUGUGACAUAUGACAGAUGAAAAGAGAUUAAUAUAGUGGUUAUCUUAAUAAGAAAUCCUACAAAUAAUUAGCGUGGUAGUAAAAGCAUAUAUUUGUAGAUCUCAAUUUAAAUUCUGGGUCUGCUAUUGUAAGUCAGAUAAACUUGGCAAGUUACUUUACCUUUCUAACCUCAGUUUCUUUACUUUCUGUCAGUAAGAUAUGAAUGCCAACAUGACAGAUUUGUUUUUAUAUUAAAAUGAAACACUAUACACUUAAGGCAGGUUCUGGGAAAUAAUAAUGGCUCAAAAUUUUAGUCAUUAUUAUAUAGAAAAAUGAAUUGCAAAGUCAUUUUAUGGGACUCUAUUUUCAACUUUUAUGUGGAACUGCAUUGUAUGAAACAGCAAAGUACAACUUAGUAUCUAUUUUGUAAACUCAGCUGUAUGGCAUUUUUUUUCUUAUUAUUAAAUA